rnacentral:lncRNA from 1 species
AGUUCCAGAGCCCCAUGAGCCCCUGAGCAGCCUCAGUGCUGACUUUAGGGAGGUUCCCUGAGAGGGGAGGGCCAGGAGUAGAGACUGGGCUGGGAGCUUUCCUUCCUCCAGGCACUGUCUCCUCUACUGUGUUUGCAACAUCCUAGAGAUUUAGGAAGCAGAUGGUUUGGAGGUAUAAUUCCUAAAAUAAAUAACCAGACACCUUUCUCCCUCUAUUUCCUUUUCUUCCAUCACUUAGAAGACAACAGUCUCCCAGCAAAAUGUUGCAAGCAGCACAGGCUCAGGAAUGGACAGACUGGCAGCGCAGCAAGAAGGCAGCAGUCUGCACACCAGGAGGAGAGUCCUCACCAGAACCCAGCCCUGCCACACCCUGAUCCUGGACUUUCAGCCUCCAGAGCUGUGAGAAAU